rnacentral:lncRNA from 1 species
UUCAGCACGACAGACCGAUAGAUCCGAUUACGUGUUUCUGCUUUCACAGUGUCCUGUUUAACUAUCCUUCCUAUUGCUUGCGCCGGAGGACCGACACCGCUAGAGUAACAUAGCCAGUCUGUCUGUAUUGCGGCGUGUGCAUGCAACUGUACGAGCGGCGCCUUCAAGCCAAUUCAUUCUGCAACCCAUAAAACAUACAAGAGGCGCUCUUUGCUUUUAAAUUGAACGGAGGACGAGCACCUCUUUCAUGGAACUGAAAGCUUCCCUUUCAAUUGCAACACUACUGCAUGAGCUCUGACGCCUGUUCGUAGGACCUUGAAACUUCAUCAAAGAUCUGCAUCACUCCGCUGACUGCCCAGAGCCACGUCAACGCAGAGUGAAAUCCAGAGAAGUAACUUCCAACUCUCAUCCCUGUCUCACGGUGGAGCUGUUGGAGCAU